GUCUUGCUCCUCCGGUUCCAGUGAGGCAGUGAUCCACUCAUGGCCGCCGCCAGCUUCCGUCUGGGCCAGCGCGUGCACGCCGCCGGCGACCCCCGCCGCGUCGGCACGGUGCUCUACCUGGGCCCACUCGAGGGUCACUCCGGCGAAUGGGUCGGCGUCGACUGGGACGAUGGCGCCGGCGGCCGCCACGACGGCUCGGUCGCCGGCCGCCGCUACUUCGUCGCUGCGGGCGAGUGCUCGGCCUCCUUCGCGCGCCCCACGGCGCUAAGCGAAGGGAUCACGCUCCCCGACGCGCUCCGCCUCCGCUACCGCGUGGACGACUUCACCAAGGAGGAAGAGGAUGAAAUGUAUGUCUUUUCAACUAGUCAGAAGCGUGUUCCGGUCGAAUUCGUUGGGAAGAACAAAGUUCAGGAGAAGCUCAAGAACUUCAACGAGUUGUCCAGUGCAUCAGUUUCCUACAUGGGAGUAAGCUCAAUCGGACCACCAGAUGAACUAAAAAAUUUGGUUCCAAAUCUCAGACUACUUGAUUUAACUGGAAAUCUGUUCUCACAAUGGCAAGAUAUAUCCUUUCGUUGUCAAGCUCUGGCAUCCCUGGAAGUUCUUAAUUUGACAAAUAAUACCAUGGAGAAUGAUGUUGUAGAAAGUCCAAUGCUUGAGAAUAUCUGUAUUUUGGUUCUCAACAACUGUGGUGUAACAUGGGAACUGGUUGAAAAGAUUAAACUCUCGUUUGCAUGUCUCAAUGAACUCCAUCUGAUGUCGAACAAGCUGAAGAUGAUCAUGACCCCAGAUGGAAAAUUUGUUCAAGGUUUCAAUACACUGUGGCUCUUAAAUUUAGAAGAUAAUCAAAUUGAUUCAUGGGAUGAAAUUGUGAAACUUUCUUAUUUAAGAAGUUUGGAACAGCUCCAUUUGAACAAAAACAGGCUAAAACAUAUAAAGUAUCCAUCUAAUCUUCCAUCACCUGGACCUCUUGGUGAUGCAGCUGCUGUGCCAUUUGAAAAUUUGCAGGUCCUUUUGUUAGGAUCUAAUGAAAUAGAUGACUUUCCUUCUGUGGAUUCACUUAACCUCUUCCCAAGUUUAAGGGACGUCAGGCUUUCUGAUAAUCCUAUAGCAGAUCCUACCAUGGGUGGUGCUCCUCGAUUUAUUCUUGUUGCUCGACUUGGAAAGGUGAAAGUACUAAAUGGCAGUGAGGUAAGCCCACGUGAACGGAGGGAAGCACAAAUACGAUAUGUUCGCCUUGUUACGGGAAAAACAGAAUCAAAUGACCCAGAAGAGAUCAAACGGCUGCACCCAAGAUUUGCUGAACUCAAGGCCUUUCAUGGUAUUGAAGAUAAGAAGCCAACUUCAAGUACAUCGGGCCCACAAAAGAUGGCUUCUGGUCUUCUAAGUAUCACCUUGAAAUGUGUGGGGCCGUCUAUGGGUGAAAAGCAACCAUUGACAAAGAAACUGCCUCCUACAACAACUGGUGCUGGGAAGUACAAGUUGUGGUGCCUAGUAAUUCAAGGAUCUUUACUUGUUUCUUCCGUGUAUCUCGAUGAAGUGGCAGUUUGUCCCGAUACCUUAAGUUUGUGUGUUGCAUACAGGUUGGGAAGUUGAAAUCUCUGUGUGAGAGCUUCUUUAAACUGAAGGACAUAAAAGUGAGACUGUUUGUCGAGGAAGAGGGAUGCCCUCUACCACAACUUGUGGUGGAGGACACGGCCUCUCUGAUGGAACUUGGGAUCGGUUCGGGAGCAAGCAUUGUUGUGGACGAAGAGAGCUAGCCGGUCUACUUCAGAGAACCCAACAGCCCUUAUCUGUCACGCAAUUAGAGUACACUUGCUGUUAAUGCUUUAAGAGAAGCAAGUAAAAAUUGCUCCUUCUCAAGUGUCCUGGCUAAGCGAAUGUAAUGUGCACUUGGUGAAUGUUCUUGUUUGUGUAUGGGCUACGAAAGGCAUCAGCAUUGUAUUGUAACAACAUUUGUGAAAAAAAAAAGACCAUGAUUUCGAUCUCA